rnacentral:rRNA from 1 species
UCUUGGUCAWUUAGAGGAAGUAAAAGUCGUAACAAGGUUUCCGUAGGUGAACCUGCGGAAGGAUCAUUAAAGAGUAAGGGUGCUCAGCGCCCGACCUCCAACCCUUUGUUGUUAAAACUACCUUGUUGCUUUGGCGGGACCGCUCGGUCUCGAGCCGCUGGGGAUUCGUCCCAGGCGAGCGCCCGCCAGAGUUAAACCAAACUCUUGUUAUUAAACCGGUCGUCUGAGUUAAAAUUUUGAAUAAAUCAAAACUUUCAACAACGGAUCUCUUGGUUCUCGCAUCGAUGAAGAACGCAGCGAAAUGCGAUAAGUAAUGUGAAUUGCAGAAUUCAGUGAAUCAUCGAAUCUUUGAACGCACAUUGCGCCCCUUGGUAUUCCGAGGGGCAUGCCUGUUCGAGCGUCAUUACACCACUCAAGCUAUGCUUGGUAUUGGGUGCCGUCCUUAGUUGGGCGCGCCUUAAAGACCUCGGCGAGGCCACUCCGGCUUUAGGCGUAGUAGAAUUUAUUCGAACGUCUGUCAAAGGAGAGGAACUCUGCCGAUUGAAACCUUUAUUUUUCUAGGUUGACCUCGGAUCAGGUAGGGAUACCCGCUGAACUUAAGCAUAUCAAUAAGCGGAGGAA